rnacentral:rRNA from 1 species
GACAGAGGGGGCAAGCGUUGCUCGGAGUUACUGGGCGUAAAGGGCGCGUAGGCGGAAUGGCAAGUCGGUCGUGAAAUCCUUCGGCUCAACCGAAGAACGUCGAUCGAAACUGCCGUUCUUGAGGAUUGCAGAGGAGACUGGAAUUCCCGGUGUAGCGGUGAAAUGCGCAGAUAUCGGGAGGAACACCAAUGGCGAAGGCAGCUCGCUGGGACGGUACUGACGCUGAGACGCGAAAGCGUGGGGAGCAAACAGG